UACGGGGGGGGCAAGCGUUGUUCGGAAUUACUGGGCGUAAAGGGCUCGUAGGUGGCCAACUAAGUCAGACGUGAAAUCCCCAGGCUCAACUUGGGAACUGCGUCUGAUACUGGAUGGCUUGAAUUCGGGAGAGGGAUGCAGAAUUCCUGGUGUAGCGGUGAAAUGCGCAGAUAUCAGGAGGAACACCGGUGGCGAAGGCGGAUCUCUGGGCCUGUCCUGACGCUCAGGCGCGAAAGCUAGGGGAGCAAACAGG
rnacentral:rRNA from 1 species